UACGGAGGAUGCGAGCGUUAUCCGGAUUUAUUGGGUUUAAAGGGUGCGCAGGCGGCGUGUCAAGUCAGCGGUAAAAUGUCGGGGCUCAACCCCGGCCGGCCGUUGAAACUGGCGUGCUCAAGUUGGAGAGAAGUAUGCGGAAUUCGUGGUGUAGCGGUGAAAUGCAUAGAUAUCACGAAGAACCCCGAUUGCGAAGGCAGCAUACCGGCUCCACACUGACGCUGAGGCACGAAAGCGUGGGUAUCGAACAGG
rnacentral:rRNA from 1 species